UAGGGAAUCUUCCACAAUGGACGCAAGUCUGAUGGAGCAACGCCGCGUGAGUGAAGAAGGGUUUCGGCUCGUAAAGCUCUGUUGUUAAAGAAGAACGUGGGUAAGAAUAACUGUUUACCCAGUGACGGUAUUUAACCAGAAAGCCACGGCUAACUACGUGCCAG
rnacentral:rRNA from 1 species